rnacentral:lncRNA from 1 species
AUGGGGUUGGCCGUGGACCCCAACAGGGCGGUUCCCCUCCGUAAGAGGAAGGUAAAGGCCAUGGAGGUAGACACGGAGGAGAGACCCAAGGAUCUUGUACGGAAGCCCUGUGUGGUAAAGGACCUGGAGGCAGAAGCCAGCCUCCCAGAGAAGAAAGGAAGUACCUUGUCUCUGGACCUCCUUAUUGACUAUGUUCAUUAUAUGGUGGAGAAUCAUGAGGAGGACGAUAAGGCCAUGGCCCGGGAUAAGAAGAAUUACUAUCAAGAAACCCCAAAACGGAUUCCGAAUAAGGUUGAUGUGUAUAAGCCCUUUUACCCAAUGGAAUGCCAAGCCUUUAUCGAUGAUUCUUUGCAGAAUAAGAAGAUGGGGGUAGACUGA